rnacentral:rRNA from 1 species
UACAGAGGGUGCAAGCGUUAAUCGGAAUUACUGGGCGUAAAGCGCGCGUAGGUGGUUUGUUAAGUUGGAUGUGAAAGCCCCGGGCUCAACCUGGGAACUGCAUUCAAAACUGACAAGCUAGAGUAUGGUAGAGGGUGGUGGAAUUUCCUGUGUAGCGGUGAAAUGCGUAGAUAUAGGAAGGAACACCAGUGACGAAAACGACCACCUGAACUAAUACUGACACUGAGGUACGAAAGCGUAGAAAACAAAC